GAUCAAAAUGAGGGGAUCUUUUAAGAACUAAGUCACCAAAAGUUUUAUCAAUAAUUUUCAAAUCUGCACUGGACUCGGUUUCUAAAAUUUCCUUACCUCGCUUACCUUCGGGAUCAUGUAGUGUGAUUUCAUCUUUGCUUAAGUUGAUCGUAUGAAAGCGUCUUUCAUUUGAGAGGUAUUGAAGUUGAAAGUUAUCUUUCGAUCUUUCAGGAACCUGAAAAGUAGCAACACAAGAAAAAUUCAUAUCUUGGUUAGUGGAAACAUUCAUCACUAGCCUUUCCUCGUCUUUUUCUUUUGUUUCUUUUUCUAACUCAUUUUCUCUUCUUUCUUCAACUUCUUUUUCAAUUUUCUUUUUUGUUUCACAUUCCUUUUCACUCUCAAUCUCUUUUUGCUCUUUUUCAUUCUCUUUUUC
rnacentral:lncRNA from 1 species